CCAGGCAAUUUUAUUGAACCCACUCCAUCACAACGUUUCGACCUACACAGUAUUUGUCAAGUUACUAAGUACAUGUAUACAUUCAUUUUUAUAGGAAUACAAGUGAUUAACAAUUAACAAGGUUACAUCAAUCAAACAAUUAGUUAAAUUACAACCAUAAAUUCAAUUACAUCCAUAUACAACCCCCAGUAUAGUCACAUUGAUAGUAAAGGCUAACAGCUGUGCCACGAGUCAGAGUACAAAUUAACUCGAUUGAAUAUAAUAAUUAGAUAUAAAGAUUCAAUUAAAGUAAUUCAAUUUGAAUAAUUGGAUCUAAAAAAUUCAAUAAUAUAGCAAUUAUACAAAGAUAUAUCAGAUGUUCGGGAGGUGUUCGCUCAAAUCUACUGCUUCCUCUUCCGGUAUGGUGUAUACGCAAUUAUGUUAGUACCACGGCAUUGCUACAUGCUUAGCGAUGACCCAUGGCAUAACGCUAAGUGUCCAAACAAGCGCAUGUAAUCAUCCAUGGUCACACAGAUACGUUGCCAAGGAGACAAAUAUACAACUAUAGAUCGGCAGCACUAAGUGAAAAAGAUCCCUCAUAUGUAUUCACAAUUUAAUACAUCACCAUAGUCACAUCGAUUUUAUAUAAAGAUAUAUCAGAAUAUAUUUAAAUACAUAAGACAUUUUUAAUUGUUAAAUAUCCAUGAUGUAAUCAAUGAAUGUUGGACUCUUUUAAAAAAAGAAAUGCUAUUUUUAUAAUAACCUAACUCAUGGCAACCCAAGAAGCCUUCCAAUCAAGCACCAUUUCUGGGAUAUGGAGACAAAAUUAGAAGAAAUAAAAAAAUAAACAUCGCAGUAAUAAACAAUAAACUAAUCAAAACCAGAUCAGGUCCAAUAUGUCUUCAAGCAUUACUAUUAAUAAUUUUAGUAUGAUAAUAUUUGAUUAUCUCUGACCUAUAUAUAAUUAAUAUAAAGCAUAUACGUACAUAAAAAAACAAAACAUAAAAGUGAUAGAGGUAAACAAUAAUCAGUGUAUGUGUUCCAUAAAUGAAUAGAAUAACUAAAUAAUUAUAUACAGUAUAAAAUAUAUGUGUUGUAUGUAAGAAGAGUCUAUAACAUUUUGAAUAGACCAGUGUACGUGUUAGUAGACAGAUUACAAAAUUGUGAAUAAUUCUAGUUCAUAGUUUUAUUUUAAGUGUUAAAGUGUAU